rnacentral:rRNA from 1 species
AUUGAACGCUGGCGGCAUGCUUUACACAUGCAAGUCGAACGGCAGCGCGGGCUUCGGCCUGGCGGCGAGUGGCGAACGGGUGAGUAAUACAUCGGAACGUGCCCAGUAGUGGGGGAUAGCUCGGCGAAAGCCGGAUUAAUACCGCAUACGACCUGAGGGUGAAAGCGGGGGAUCUUCGGACCUCGCGCUAUUUGAGCGGCCGAUGGCGGAUUAGCUAGUUGGUGGGGUAAAGGCCUACCAAGGCGACGAUCUGUAGCUGGUCUGAGAGGACGACCAGCCACACUGGGACUGAGACACGGCCCAGACGCCUACGGGAGGCAGCAGUGGGGAAUUUUGGACAAUGGGCGAAAGCCUGAUCCAGCAAUGCCGCGUGUGUGAUGAAGGCCUUCGGGUUGUAAAGCACUUUUGGCGGGAACGAAAAGGACUGUGCCAAUACCACGGUUCGAUGACGGUACCCGCAGAAUAAGCACCGGCUAACUACGUG